GAGAUUUAUUUUUAAAAAAUCACAUGUGGUUAAAGUGCACAUUGUCAGAUUUUAUUAAAGGCCGUUUUUCCACAUGUUGGUUUCACCAUUGUAGAAAUUACAGCUGUGUUUAUACAUAGUCCCCCCAUUUCAGGGCAGCAUAAUGUUUGGGACACAUGGCUUCACAGGCGUUUGUAAUUGCUCAGGUAUGUUUA